CAUUAUCAUUUAAAGAGACAUGCACUGAAACGGGUUGCUAUGAACAGAGCUGUUCUUGACAAGAUAAAAAAGGUGUUGUUUUACACGACCAUCGAGGAGCUCGGAAGGCAUCCGAAUGUCCUCUUUAACAGCAACAGAGUAUUGCUUUUGUUUUCCAGGCUGAAAGAAACCCAAAUGAUUCUGCUCAUCUUACAGACCGAAGCCAGAUGCUUAGAGAAAGACUCCGAGGUACUCAUUAUUUGAUCAACUGAACUUUUAAGAAUAACCUCACAGAGUGGCAUUACUCUUAAAGUAAAGAUCCAUGAAAUACAUUGUAGUUUAACCCUCUUGUUCUGCGUUAGGUGCUUCCUGUCAGAACUCUUUCUGGCCGUUGAAAAGGAACAGCACACGGUCACCAGCAGACUUCAGCAGAAGUCAUAGUUCACACCAAAGGAGCAGAAACAUGGCAUGGCUGAGCCAAAGUCCUGUUCUGGACAGACGGCGCCACUUCAACUCAAGGUCAGAUCAGCUGCUUGGCUCUUCCUUUAGCCUUAAUGAACGGAAAAUAAAGGACACGGGCCCGGAGUUCAUCCAAAUGCUGGAGGAGCCUCUGGUGGAUUUAGAGCUGCCUAAUUCUAUUGUGGUCGGUUUAAUAUCGCUGUUGGCUCGACACCAAGCAAUCUGUUACAUAGUACUAAGAAGGGUCACUUUUGCACUUAUUUCCUGAGUCUUUCUCUCUUUCUAAACAGUCAAACAAAGGGAGGUCACGAUCAAACCAAAGGGACUUGACAGUGAUGAUGCCAAACGGACAGAACAUUCUGCUCAAGUGUGACGUCAAGUCCCGAGGAGCCGACGUCUUUGAUAUGAUCGUCGCUCAUGCAAACCUCGUGGAACACUUUUACUUUGGC
ensembl:lncRNA